rnacentral:rRNA from 1 species
UACGGGGGGGGCAAGCGUUGUUCGGAAUUACUGGGCGUAAAGGGCUCGUAGGUGGCCAACUAAGUCAGACGUGAAAUCCCUCGGCUUAACCGGGGAACUGCGUCUGAUACUGGAUGGCUUGAAUCCGGGAGAGGGAUGCGGAAUUCCAGGUGUAGCGGUGAAAUGCGUAGAUAUCGGGAGGAACACCAGUGGCGAAGGCGAGUCUCUGGGAUGAUGCUGACGCUGAGGCGCGAAAGCCAGGGGAGCAAACGGG